UCAAUGGACCCAUGCAAAUGCAACUAGCAUAAAAAUGAUGACUCGCUUUUCCGGGAAGUUAACUUGGUUCUUCUCCGUGACCGACUUGAGAUUCACCACCUACAAGAAAAAAAUAAGAAUAUUACAAAGUAUCUAUUCAUCAAAUGUGACGAUACAUAAAACCUACCUGAAACUGAUUGUUGUCGUUUUUCUUCCGUCCCUGGAACCGCGGUCCUUGUGAUGAGAAAUAUAGAAAAAGGCACAUCGAAAAACAACCGCAAGAUUGCCCAACUUUUGUUAUCCAACGAUUCGGAUAUGUUGAAGCAAAUCUCCAGCUGAACGGAUCAUCUGCUUCGUUAAAUUUCUGCUUCUUCCGGACUUCUUCUUUCCGCAAUUUUAGCUGAAAUAGAAAAGAGAUAGAAUAACUGAUUAAUUUACUAAAAUUUGCCAAUAAUAAGCUUUGUGAGAAUACUUACCGUGAAAUAUGAACAGAAUAUUUUCCCGAAGAUUGAUCAACAAUACCAGCUCCAAUGUUUACAUUGAACUCUUUGUUAUUGACGUUUGUCGUGAGUGACCGUCAACAAAACACUCAGUAACUUGACGUUGUCGUGAGUGACCGUCAGUAAAAGUGCUACACUGAAACAAACGAUACUGUUCCAAUCUAGUGAUGAUUGAGAUAUAGGUACUUCGUUUAAAAAGACACCAUAGUAAAGAAAUAUUCUUUUGAUCAGAUCAAAAUAAAUUAUUUCAAAUGGACUGUUGCAUUCAUCUCCCUCAUAACAAAAUGAAUGAAAGUUCAUUCAUUUUGAGAAGGGACGAUGGGGUAAUGUAACCGUCGGUUACAUGUUUUUGUGUGGCUCCGCCACAAAAUCAGAUCAUCCCUGUCCCUUAAGGAAAAACAAAAACAAAUCCUGCAAACAGAAUGGCUAACUUCACCCCACUUCACCCAAAUCAUCUGUCAUCCCGCACAGGCACUCUCUUUCUCAGAGAAAUCCAGGGGCGUCGUGCUCAACCAGGGCCGUCAUGGGGAAGUGUGGGCACCCAGAGAACGACGCACCAUGUAAAUUUGCCGUAUGUAUGGGCGUCGGCCAAAAAUCAAGGUCUAUCGAAUAUCGGCAAUGCAAAGCAUGUUCUUUCUGUCUGUGAUCUCGUUAGGAGUAAGAAGUGUGCGUCGUGUGUAGUUCAAAGCUAAAAGUACAAAAUAAAAACGUAUUACAAAAAUACAAACAGUAGUACGGUGCGCGGUUAAAAAAAUAUAUAAGUACGAUUUAGAAAUUAUAAAAAGAACAAAUAUCGUGAAGACAAACUCAACAAAAACCACCACAAAGAAAAGGUCCAAGAGGGCCUUUUCUUGUUUUGUCGGCUUAUUCACCAGCUAUUCGUGAACUGCAACCACACGGCGACGUCUAACAUCCAAAAUCAACCAGACAGAAAGACCACACAACAUAACCUUGUCGGAAGGCUUUUGGCUGUGGCCAUCCGGUGGCGCUAGGACCGCUUGAUAACCUAGUUUGGGCCAUUACGAGGUUAACGACGAAGGCAAGGCUAAAACAUAACCUUGUCGGGCUAUUACGAGGGUAUCGGAAAGAUCAUCCGGUACAACAAGGCCGGAAUCACAAAUCGCAACUUGCAGGCUCUUCCGGGACGCCGGACAGAGUCUGCUGUGAAUUCCGGAUUGCUGGUGGAAAAAUCAACAUAAUAUGGGAACCGAUGUCCCCAUAUGGUUCCAAUCAAUCGUCGUUGUCCGCCGAUCCAGCUGCCGCUAGUAGUUCCUGAUAAAUUCCGUGCACAAAAUCUAACCGCAAGUAUGCCUUAUAUGUGACGUCACCCCUGAAAAACUAUGUAAAUAAAACCCCCCACAUUAUGUAAAAUUUGAAA